rnacentral:rRNA from 1 species
GACGAACGCUGGCGGCGUGCUUAACACAUGCAAGUCGAACGCUGAAGCCCAGCUUUUGUUGGGUGGAUGAGUGGCGAACGGGUGAGUAACACGUGAGUAACCUGCCUCCUUCUUUGGGAUAACGCCCGGAAACGGGUGCUAAUACUGGAUAUUCACUGGUCUUCGUAUGGGGGUUGGUGGAAAGGGUUUUUCUGGUGGGGGAUGGGCUCGCGGCCUAUCAGCUUGCUGGUGGGGUGAUGGGCUACCAAGGCUUUGACGGGUAGCCGGCCUGAGAGGGUGACCGGUAACAGUGGGACUGGGCUACGGCCCAGACUCCUACGGGAGGCAGCAGUGGGGAAUAUUGCGCAAUGGGCGCAAGCCUGAUGCAGCGACGCAGCGUGAGGGAUGGAGGCCUUCGGAUUGUGAACCUCUUUCGCUCAUGGUCAAGCCGCAACAAUGGUUGUGGUGAGGGUAGUGGGUAAAGAAGCGCCGGCUAACUACGUG